rnacentral:lncRNA from 1 species
UAUUAAGUGAGACAUGGUGGAACAAAUAUAAUUAUGUUGAAAACUUAUUAUGUUAGUUUUCAGAAUACCUGUCAUAGUUUUAAGAAUUUACCAUGGCUAUUAGUUCUAAAUCUGGCAUAGUAUAUUUAAAUCCCUAAUUAUUAUCACUCUCACGUUUCACAAUCAGUCCACACUUAAUCUUCCUCCCAGUCUUUCAUUCUUAAGUUUUCUCAUACAAUUUUCAAUAUCCAGUUUGUUCUCACGUAGUGAUGUCUUCGUCUCCCCUUUUUAUAAUGUUGUUGUCUACCAUAGUUGCAUUGUUGUCCCCUUCGUCUCACUUAGUCACUCCUUGUCUCAAGUCUUCGUCCCCUUCGUCCCCU